UAGGCAUUAUAAAGGUGUAAAGGUAUCAACUCACAUACACAACAUGGGACCUCAAACAACCUUUAGACAAUGGUUUCUCAACCAUCAUAAGGACACAGGGUGCAGUAGAUCAAAACUGAACCCCUGUGCACCUUCAUUUACUCCCUGAACACAGGAACAAAAUCUGGGUCUUACCAAAAAAAGGCACCAAGUGCCAUAAAACAACCAUAAAAAUAAAUGGAAGCACAGACCUUGGAUUGUCUAAUCUGGAACAAACUCUGGGAACAAAUUCCAGAAACUCUGCUGAGUAACAGCAGCAAGUUCAUGUCGAAACAAGGAACAGCAGAUUGUGUUUACAAAAAAAAACACGAUGUGGUGGAGUAAUUCAGCGGAUGAGGCAGCAUUUCUGGAGAACUUAGAUAAAUAACGUUUUGGGUCUAGACUCUUUUUCAGACUCUCGAGAGAUGUCCUCUAGAGAUACUGCCUCACCCAUUGAGUUACUCUAGCACUUUGUGUCUAUCUUGUAAACCAGCAUCAGCAGUUCCUUAUCUCUAGGUUUGUACCUAAUUGUUCUUUUUUAGUUCCUUACUGCUGCAACAUUUAUUUUAAACUAAUCCCAGUUUUCUGAAGGCCAGAGUUUUGACAUGAGUUUUAUUUAAGUUAAUGCACUUAUUAUUUGUUAGUUCGUUUUCAGGAUCUGCGGCAGACCCAGGUUGUUGGCAAGGCCAGUGUCUACCACCCAUCCUUAACGGCCCUUGAGGAGGUGGUGGUGAACCAUCUUCUUGAACUGUAGCAGUCCCGGUGAGUGAACUCCCACAGGGAGUGGAGCAGCAAGAUCUAGGAUUUAAAUCUCACAACAACGAUGAAACGCUGAAAGAUUUCCAAUCGGCAGAAGACAUGAGGGACAUUUUUUCUAUACCCCACCCUGAGAGCAACAUCAAUUAUUUAUUUAAGCAAACUGAAACAGAUGUCUCAUUUAAUUUAAUCUUACAAUUUAUACAUCCCUGUCAAUUAUCAAAAUAUUAAUUUAAACAAUAUAUUUUUCAGUUAAGGGCAGAGCAAUUGGUUCUAAUUAAAAUGGGUUUCCACAAGCUAAGAAAAUGCGGUCAAUGAUAUUGAAAGCAAAAUCUUCAAUGACACAAAAAUAGUACGAGUGUAAGUAAUAUAGGGGCCUGAUUCAGACAGAAAUGCAUCUGAUGAAACUUUUACUAUAUUUAGCAUGCAACGCUGGUUUGUUAUUUUGGUAAUCCUGAAGAUUUAAACCAGAUUAACCAUAGCAAGGAAAACAUAUGUUGAGUGUUCAAUAUAGUGCAUGUUCAGGCCGUGGGAUCUCCAGUCUUAAUUUGAUAAGAACGGAUUUUAUUUGGAUUUUGAACAAUUUGUAAGAAAUAAUAAUCAGUGGAAUUUCUCCCUUUACCAUAAUUCUAUAAUACCAAAGUGAUUUGUCACAGAAGAUAUGUCUUGUAAUUUGGUUCUCUUAUCUAGCCUGUUCAUUGGAAAAUGAUUUUUUCUAUCAUUCAUUUGCACUCCGUAUCCAGUUCACUUGAAGGAAGUUUAGCAUCCUAACGGAAUGUGGACUGUGGUGAGCAAGGGAGAAUCAUACUCUGUCAAAAAUACCAUCUGUUCUCGUUCCUGUUUCAUAGCUGGCCUCCCCAGUGACUGCUAUCAUGAAGAAACUUAAAACAGGAUUAAACCAAAGCUCGAUCUCUACCUCACAGCUGCCAGAUUUUCUUUAGCCGCAUGAGCUCAGUGCAGAGAGAGAAAAGUGAUGCACACAUGCUUAUACUUUGCCAUUUUGUGGUUGCAGAGCAAAGGAAAGAUUCCUUUCUCAUAUCGAGGUCUGUGACACUGCGUAACCCCACACCAGAAAUGAGUGGUACAAUUGGCUUCUGAGAACACAUGAAAUUAUGUGGUCGAAAUAGUAAGGAUGCAGAUGUUGCUGGCAUGGUUACAAUUUAUUGCUUCAUCUCUUAGCUGCCCCUUUAAACAUCAUGUAAGGUCUAGAGUGACAUGCAGGCCCGACAAGGACUUUGUCCCUGCCAAUAUCUCUCAGCCCAAGAUAUCUUCGUGAUCUGCUGAACAAUCAGUUGAACCGACCAGAGUGGAUCCAACAAUGAUGCACGUGGGUGGAAACAAUGUAGGAAGCAAACAAAGUUCUGUGCCAUCAGAAAACAACCUAUCCAAGACGAGAAUGGAAUUAGUAGAAAUGUGUUGCAGUGAAUACAUUCCAUAUGAAGCAGUACACAAAACCUCUGUGGUGUUGGACCACCCAGAGGUGAACACAUUUAAGGAAUUUAGCCUGUGAUCAAUUUUGUCCCUUCCAGACCAUAACUGACAGCAGGAAUAUUUAUUUCAGCUGCUGUAAAUUAAAGGAAAUCUUAAAACAUGCCCCCAAUAUCCUCUUCUACAGCACAACACGGAGAUAAUGGGGAGAAAGGAAAAGUGCAUAACACUUAGAAGUAAGUUUCACAUGCUCAUCUAACCAGACCUUCUCUUUAAAACAAAGCAACGCAAGCUGCCUCCGCAACCAACUCACCCGAUAAGUAUCUUUACAACCCAAAAAUAAAAAUUCCAAUUUAACCCAUAAUGAUUACCAAAAUUACAGGGAAAACCAUAAAUAUGUCAGUUUUAAUCAUGUUAAAGAAAGAAGCUGCAUCUCUGGAUCUGUCGCUACAAUCUAUUUUUAGUUCCACAGUGAUAUCUCUGAUAACACCCUGUUGGUAUUAAAACUCAAACAAUGCUUGGAAACAUGGAGAAGGAAUGUAAAAUCAUAUAAUUGCUGGUCCGCUUCAUUUCUCUUGUGUGUGCAUCAGAUUUGCUGUAAAAAAAGGAAGGCAAGCUUACCAAUUGCAAUUAUUUUCCUAAUUAACGUUAAUAGUUCGGUUAUUUUUAUUGGACAAUAUCCCAAAUAAUUUCGUGCUUUAAGGUAUCUGUGAUGUGUAUUGGAAUAAAAAAUGUGAUGCAUAAAACUUCUGCAAAUGGAAGUGGAUAUACUGCUAAUGUGUCAUCAGCUGUCUCGGUUUAUAACGUGGACAUUUCAACCGUAUGACUGACGGUGUUCCUGAUACUGAGUAAUAACAGCACAGUCCUCAUUAUAUAAUCCAGAUUAAUUAUUGUUAAGCAUGACAAGGUUGUAGGCAACCUGUCUUGCUGAAUGCAACCAGUAUAUCAAGUGUAUAGUUUGGGCCAAAGCAAGUCAGGGCUGGAAAAAUAAAGCUAUUUUUGGAUUUGUCAUGCUGGGGACUAAGAAGUGUAGGUGGCUCUUGGAAAAUUGACUCCCCAGGCCAUUUUAAAAGGCCAGUACUGAAAUGAAAUAAAGUAGAUCUACGUAAUUAUAAGUACAUGUGUGUUCCACGUAAUUAAAGUACAAGUUUGCAUGGCGACCCUCCUUGACGUCUCAGGGUAAAUAAAAACGAACACAAACACAUGAUUUAUUUUCUGUUAUUUAUAUUUUUAAAUGUAUUUCUUGCCAGGGCAUCGUAUAGGUAGAAAUUAAAAUAGGCACAAUGACAUUUUGGAAAGUGAUUCAUUCUGAAACAAACAUAAAAGUUCUAGGCUUCCACUGCAAUUAUGUUCAAGUUAAUAAAAUUAUAUUUAUGCAUUGA